rnacentral:lncRNA from 1 species
UUGUAAAAUCGACUGUGGGUGCAGUGGAAUAAAUGAAACAAGACACAAAAUUUACGAGGUUCCUCUACAGUCAGUGUGACUGGAGUACGUCCUCGGGGCAGCAGUGGUGCUUUCAUUAUAAUUUGAAAUAAUAGGAGUACAAAGAUAACUCUCUCUAUUCUCUUCUCUCAUCUUCCUCUAUUCUCUCUCUUCCUCUUCCUUCUCUCUCUUCCUCUUCCUUCCUUCCUCUCUUUCUUUCCCGUGAACUCCCCUCACUUCAUUCCUCUUCUUCCUUUAUAUAAACAAAAGAAAGCACUAUUCACUUUACAAAUUUUCCACAAAUGAAUAGUGAAAAUACUGUGCAUAAAUAGUAACAAACUAUUCAUGUGGACCAUCCACACACUAUUUACAACACUCCCCCUUGGAUGGCCACAAGUCUUCGAUUGACUCGUUAAAACCUUGAUCUGUCUUGGAUGCUCCCCCUGAUGAGUAUCUCCCCCUGAUUUCAAAUCAUUUAGGUUGAUCUUUGAUCGUUCUGAUUUAGUCUCUUAGUAAGAAGAGUUGCUGAAAGAGUUGCUUUACUUGUUGUUAACUUUCCACAGGCUUUUUCUUGAACUGGGUUGUAGGACUUUCUGCUAGACUAGCAUCCAAAGGUCUGAAUUUACUCCUUUUAUCUGGAGCGGAAUUUGAUUCAAGAGUAGUGAACACUUGAUAUUGAAUCGGACUUGUGAUUUCUUCAAGGACCUUCGAGCCUUGAUCUUGAAUGAAAUUGGACCAUGAGGAGCUUCAUGUGGCAAGUGAUCUUCAGUUUUGUCAGGGAUGAAUCAGCACGCGUUUGUUGCGCUUGUCUCCACAUGCUUCAAUGUAUCAUUUUCACUUUCCUUACUUGCUCCCCUUGCUUAAGUAGUAUUUUCCCUGCUUUUCCCCCAUGCAUGUGUGGCAUCUUCUCCGGCAGUAUUUGCCCUCUGAUGCCGGAGUGGAGUGCAACCCUUGCAUUUGGAUGGUUCAUCACUUCUUGGUGACUGGAGACCCAGCUCCAACCGUUGAAGAUGACUACUCGAGAGCAACACUAGGUAAGUAAUCAGGAAAGGUUCCAGGCAGUCGGUUCCUUACGGGGAGUUUGAGUGGAGGUUCCGACAUAUUGCUUUCUUUAUCCUUGUUUUCGCAGGCAAGAACAAGGACAAAGGAAAAGACAGGGAGAUUGCAUGAUAUGAGAUAAUCUUGCUCUGGUCCCUGAAGAUAUGUGAUAAUCUUGCUCUGGUGUGACAUGUUUGAAGAGGUAUUCUCGGAGAGGAAGAAAACUGAGUAUUUCGAGAUGCUAUGUUGAAGAUGCAUUCUCGGAGAUGAGGAAGAGUUAGGUAUUCUUGCAGUGUUGCGGGUCUGCCUUGUUAUGGAGAACAGAGGUCGACAUAUAUAGAGAUUUCUCAAUAGCAAGUGGUGGUGCUGUGCUUUUACUCUUGUCAGCAACUGUGGUGUAAAUAGAACAGUAAGAUUUACGCGUUUUCAACUUUGUCAGAGAUCUUUGACAAAGUUGCACGCGAUAUCUGAAAAAGCUAGGAUUACGUCUGAAAAAUGCCAACAAACUUUAUUCAGGAAAAUCUGGCUUUUGAAAUUCGGAGAGCGGUGCCUCUUCGAUCUUUGAACGAGUGGCUCUGCUGCCUCUUCUUUUAUAGAGACAUCAAUUGUGUUCAAGAGUAUGCUCAGAAAGUUGCUGCCUGUAGAAAUUUCCUCUAUCUUGCACUUCUGAAAUUUUAUUUGACCUCUGUUUUUCCUUCACCAUUUCUGAAAAAUGACUUGCCCAUCUAACAUUUGCUUAGAUUUGAGUCUUAGGAGUGAUACAGACGAGCAGCGUCAUGAUAAUAUAUGGCGCCCUUCCUUCUUAUCUUCUAAUGGUCCUCUUACGGUUGGUGACUCUGUGAUGAAGAAUAACAUAACCGCUACUGUGGUAGCUAGGAAUCUUCUCACUCCAAGGGAUAACAAGAUCCUUUCAGAACGGUCUGAAGAGUCGGCCGUUCAAGACUCCUUGGCUCUCAGUGUUCAGUGUGCUGGCUCUGUGUCCAAUAUGGGCCAACGCCUACUUGCUCAAACUCGCCAAGUUGAAUCAUUAAUGGCGGAGGUGGCAAGUCUUAAACAAGAGAUCAGAGGGCUCAAGCACGAGAAUAGGGUGUUACACGUGCUUGCAAAUAAUUACUCUACGAGCAUGAAAAGAAAGCUCGUCCAACUGCAGGAAUCCGAAAGUCGGAUUCAAAGUGAUCACCAGAGGUUCGUUGCUAGAUUCCGAAAGCAACUGAUGCCUUCCCCUUCUGGUGUUUUGCUAAGUACUGGGGUGCCACAUGAUCAAUCUCCAGUGCCUCCCCCUUCUGGGGUACUUCCGAGUACUGAGGCUUCACAUGAGCAACCUUUGUGAAGGCUCCAUCCUGUUUUUGUUUGUUUUAACUCAUGUGUAUGUAUAUAUCUGUAAUUUCUUGGAGAUAUUAAUAAAUAAGCUUUAUUUCAUUCAAUGUAUUGUGCCAAAUACAAUAAAGCAUAUACUUCACUAAGAUGUGGUACUUCUGGACCAAGUAUUAAUUUAUCUUUACCCUCACGAAGAUAAAUGAUUAUUCUUAGUGUCUUCAUCAUAUGAGUAUUUAACUCAUAAUCUUCAAUCCAUAUGGUUCUUUUAAUAUCAUAAAUAUCAUGGAUAAGAUUCGUUGGUAGAUUGUUCAAUCUACAGCUCGAGACAAUAAUUCCUUCAACACUUUAUAAUUUUUCUAGACUCUUCAGGAGUCCCAAUUUAAUAUCAUCAACUCUUCAAGAGUUCUAAUUUAAUGUCAUUGACUCUUGCAAGAGAUUUUAGUAUGUUGCAACAAUAUCAUAAUGAUAGUACUCACUAAGGCAAUUUAUAUCAUCCAUUGGUAUUGAGUACAUAUUUUAUGUUUUACCCUUCAGAGGCUUACUUCAAGCAAUUUUGAAUCCUUCAAGGGUUUUCUACACUUCAUGACACAUUUUCCUUUGGAAUUUAUACAGAGCAAUUUGCUCCCAUGUAUACUUGAGGGAUUUACUUAUGGAGAUAUAAUGUGGGCGACUCACAACCCUUCGUAUAUAAUUCUCCAUUUAUAUGAACUCGUUUACAACCUUGUGUCAUAUCAUGUGAGUGUAUUUCACUGUAUUACAAAUGCCCAAUGUAACCUUCUUGGUUCAACAUCUUUUGGCUAUUUGUAUUACAUUCAAAUAUAUAGGUCCAUUUUCCCACGUUCUUACAAAAUUGUAAUGGAAUUGCCUUUCUCCAUCUUUGUUUUUCGUUGAAAAGAACGAGACUCAAUAUCAACACAGCUCAUUGAUGAUUUUUAGUAGCUACUUGUAAAAACCAAAAUUACCAUUGGUUAUCAUCAAUCCGUGAUCCCAUAUUCUCAUGUGCAUGCGCAUGCAUAAAAGCCUUUUAUUUCUUUGGAUAUCCAUUGCCUCUUCAAGGGCAUGACGCUAUCUCUUCCAGGAUAGUCAUAAUUUAGAGAAUGUGGAUCAUAACCUCCUCUUGAGCGUUAUAGAGUUUGGAUUUUAAUCUCCACUUCCGGGAGUUGAGUCAUUGGAACCUAUAUGUCUAUUAUGCUCUAUGUAUAAGACAUCAACAUUCCCAUGUCUGUGGAUUGUCCUAUCUGGGACGUGUAUCCAUGCGGCGACUGUCAUGCUUCUGGCAUGCAACAGUUAUGCUUCGGGAAUGCAAUAGUUCAGUAGUGCCAUAUUAUUCUUCUUUUGAAUAACUGAACCUUUUGAGUCUAAAAAUCUGCCACGCUUCAGGCGUUCAACAGAUAAAUCAUUUACUGUCUCAUUAUUUUAUCCAACAGAGACAUCAAUUCUUGUAGACACAUUUGCAGUAAGUAUAUAUGAUUUCAUCACUUUCGUUGCAUCAUUCAAUUAUUCAUAUUUCAUUUUCUCAUUGAUUGCUUCGUGAAUCAAAAUAAAAUAAAUUCUCUUCGUUCUUCUGGAACGAUCCUUUCUCGUCAUUCUUCUGGAAUGAUAUUUUCUCAUUGUUCUUUUGGAACGAUAUUUUCUCCCCCUAACAGCGGAAAAAUUGUCUUAUCAAAAUGACAGUCCGCAAACCAAGCGGUAAAUAUAUCCCCAGUCAAGGGUUCCAAAUAUUGAAUGAUAGAUGGUGUUCAACAUCAAUGCCUAAUCUACGAUGAUGCCUCAUUUCAGUACGUUGUGGCAGUCUUACAGGCACAUAGACAACACAACAAAAAACUCGUGAAAGUAUAAUGCUUGGCUGGUUCCCAAACACGAGUUGUACUGAGAAGUAUUGAUGGUUAGUAACAUGUCUCAAUCGAAUUAACAAUGCAUCAUGUAAAGUUUACAUGUUCCCAUGUAGAAAAUUGGCAAUUUCAUUUUCAUGAGCAGAGCGUUGGUAAUUGAUUUCACCCACUUAAUAAAUGCUUCUGCUAAACCAUUUUAAGUAUGGACAUGAGGAACUUCUGUUCCUUGUUUAAUAGUCUGUGAACUGAGACUCUUAUGUCCUUUAUUAUAGUUAAGUUGAGGCACUGCGGCACUUUAAACUUACGGUACUCAUCAAGGAAUUUCAUGUCCUGAUCUUCAGGAUCAAAGGACUUCAUGCCUGAUUUUUUUGUAUGAUGGAACUUCGGGUCCAAUCAUUUUAUAUGAUGAGGAUCAAGAAACUGCAGGUUCUGAUCUGAUCAAGGAACUUUGGGUCUUAUAUAUACUCAUUGUAACAAAAGAUAAGUACAAUAAAUAAAUUAAAGCAAUAGGCGGUAAUUCCAGCCAUAAUGAAUAAAUUGCAUUUAAAUAAAUAAAGCUUGUGACAAGGGCUUUAAUCCAGCACCAUUAAAACUUAAAGCAAUAGGCGGUAAAACCGUCCAUGGUAAAUAAAUUGCUUUAAAGUAAAUAAAGCUUGUGACAAGGGCUUUGAUUCAGCACCAUUCACAUAAAUAUCAAAGCUUUAAAACAAAGGGUAAUAAUUCUACCCACUGUAAAUAAAUUGCUUUAAAUAAAUAGAACUUGUGAAAGUGUUUUAAGCCAACACCAUUCACAUAAAUAAAUAUAUACAUAAUUUCUUCUUUCUUUUCAGAUGGUGUAACACCAUCCAAAAACCUUUACCUUUAUUUUAUUUUAUUAUUUUCUUAUUCAAUCACAUUCUACAACAUUCCAAAAACUUUUGGUUUUAUUUCUUUUAUUUUACAUGGUGCAACGCACCUUUCUAAAUCAUUGGCCCCAUUUCCCCUUUUCUUUGUCUGUCUCUACCAGUCUCGAAACUCAGUAUCAGCUGGAUUGUUGUGGAGGUCACACAAAACCAAUUCAAUCCAAAAAGGCUACCAGAUACUGGCGUUGUUCUCGCAUAGCCCAAAGAACAUGGCAUCGCAAAGCAAGAAUCUCUCCACAGAGACAUAGAUGACAGUGAGGUUGACGGAGGCACAAGAGAGGGAGGCCGGUGUGGAGUCAGUCAUGCCAUCACCAUCUCAGACAACUGAGGAUUCAUGGAGGUCCACGAGAUUCAUUGAGAACGACACGAUCUGGGUUUCCAAGUUUGAUGAGAUUCUUCUGGAUCUCUGGAAACCAGUUGCCAGGUACGAGUUUUCUUAUCUCGUGACUACUUCAUGUCAUUGUAAAUUUCAAUUCGCACCGGGAUUCGGUGGGGCGCUUCUGGCGCGGUGGGAGAAACGAAAAAUGGACAUACCUUUGCUUGUUUUACUGCACCUUUGUUUGUCUGUAAGAUCUCUCCAUCUUUCUUGUCCACAAGAGAGAAAAUAGAUUGCAGGUCUAGCAGGGAUAAAGAUUAGCACAUCAAUAGUAAGAGUGAUAAAGGAAAAAGUGAUAAAAGAAAGGUUGAUGGAUUUUUGUGACAAGAUGAUCUUCCCUGUUUGACAUGUUUGGCUUGCCGUCUCUACUCUGUGAGAUUUUAGCUGACCGAGGUGAGAGGUAGAUAAUGCUUCACCAGAUUUAUGAUGUUGUGCUUUCCACUGACAUGAGAGCUUUUCGUGCUGAUAACGUGUUGUAAAAUCGACUGUGGGUGCAGUGGAAUAAAUGAAACAAGACACAAAAUUUACGAGGUUCCUCUACAGUCAGUGUGACUGGAGUACGUCCUCGGGGCAGCAGUGGUGCUUUCAUUAUAAUUUGAAAUAAUAGGAGUACAAAGAUAACUCUCUCUAUUAUCUUCUCUCAUCUUCCUCUAUUCUCUCUCUUCCUCUUCCUUCUCUCUCUUCCUCUUCCUUCCUUCCUCU